rnacentral:rRNA from 1 species
AUGUCUACUUGGAGGUUGUGCCCUUGAGGCGUGGCUUCCGGAGCUAACGCGUUAAGUAGACCGCCUGGGGAGUACGGCCGCAAGGUUAAAACUCAAAUGAAUUGACGGGGGCCCGCACAAGCGGUGGAGCAUGUGGUUUAAUUCGAUGCAACGCGAAGAACCUUACCUGGUCUUGACAUCCACAGAACUUUCCAGAGAUGGAUUGGUGCCUUCGGGAACUGUGAGACAGGUGCUGCAUGGCUGUCGUCAGCUCGUGUUGUGAAAUGUUGGGUUAAGUCCCGCAACGAGCGCAACCCUUAUCCUUUGUUGCCAGCGGUCCGGCCGGGAACUCAAAGGAGACUGCCAGUGAUAAACUGGAGGAAGGUGGGGAUGACGUCAAGUCAUCAUGGCCCUUACGACCAGGGCUACACACGUGCUACAAUGGCGCAUACAAAGAGAAGCGACCUCGCGAGAGCAAGCGGACCUCAUAAAGUGCGUCGUAGUCCGGAUUGGAGUCUGCAACUCGACUCCAUGAAGUCGGAAUCGCUAGUAAUCGUGGAUCAGAAUGCCACGGUGAAUACGUUCCCGGGCCUUGUACACACCGCCCGUCACACCAUGGGAGUGGGUUGCAAAAGAAGUAGGUAGCUUAACCUUCGGGAGGGCGCUUACCACUUUGUGAUUCAUGACUGGGGUGAAGUCGUAACAAGGUAACCGUAGGGGAACCUGCGGUUGGA